rnacentral:rRNA from 1 species
UACAGGGGGUGCAAACGUUGCUCGGAAUCACUGGGCGUAAAGCGCACGUAGGCGGAUCGUUAAGUCAGGGGUGAAAUCCUGGAGCUCAACUCCAGAACUGCCUUUGAUACUGGCGAUCUUGAGUUCGGGAGAGGUGAGUGGAACUGCGAGUGUAGAGGUGAAAUUCGUAGAUAUUCGCAAGAACACCAGUGGCGAAGGCGGCUCACUGGCCCGAUACUGACGCUGAGGCACGAAAGCGUGGGGAGCAAACAGG